rnacentral:rRNA from 1 species
UCUGGUGGCUUGACGCGGAGGAUACACCCGUUCUCAUUCCGAACACGGAAGUUAAGCUCUGUAGUGCCGAUAAUACUCCGUAAGGGGGAAGGUAGGCAGCCGCCGGUA